UUGAAUUUUAAUGAAGAGUUUGGUUGUAGCUGGCCCAUUCAUUUGGGCAUGUGCACACCUUCCUCUUUCAUCCCACACACACCUGUGAACCCGUGAGACAGAGAUGGGGAAUUUACUUGCUGCUUUUUGGAAUACAAAGGCAAUAGGUUAUUGGACCCCCCCUCUGUCUACUCAAUUAAUAUAAACUCAAUUUAUUUUAAAACGAAUGUAAUGGAUGUAACACAUCUCAUAC
rnacentral:misc_RNA from 1 species